UUGAACGCUGGCGGCAGGCCUAACACAUGCAAGUCGAGCGGAUGAAGGGAGCUUGCUCCUGGAUUCAGCGGCGGACGGGUGAGUAAUGCCUAGGAAUCUGCCUGGUAGUGGGGGAUAACGUCCGGAAACGGGCGCUAAUACCGCAUACGUCCUGAGGGAGAAAGUGGGGGAUCUUCGGACCUCACGCUAUCAGAUGAGCUUAGGUCGGAUUAGCUAGUUGGUGGGGUAAAGGCCUACCAAGGCGACGAUCCGUAACUGGUCUGAGAGGAUGAUCAGUCACACUGGAACUGAGACACGGUCCAGACUCCUACGGGAGGCAGCAGUGGGGAAUAUUGGACAAUGGGCGAAAGCCUGAUCCAGCCAUGCCGCGUGUGUGAAGAAGGUCUUCGGAUUGUAAAGCACUUUAAGUUGGGAGGAAGGGCAGUAAGUUAAUACCUUGCUGUUUUGACGUUACCAACAGAAUAAGCACCGGCUAACUUCGUG
rnacentral:rRNA from 1 species